CCUUCGAUAGCUCAGUUGGUAGAGCGGUGGACUGUAGAAAAGGUGAAAGGAGGAGGUUCGAUGCACCACACAACAUGCAUGAACGAUCACUUUCCAAACAGUACAGUAGUAAUCCAUAGGUCACUGGUUCAAAUCCGGUUCGAAGGA
rnacentral:tRNA from 2 species